AUUUAUGGAGAGUUUGAUCCUGGCUCAGGAUGAACGCUGGCGGCGUGCCUAAUACAUGCAAGUCGAACGCACCAUUUCGGUGGUGAGUGGCGAACGGGUGAGUAACACGUAGGUAACCUGCCCUUAAGACGAGGAUAACCAAGGGAAACUUUGGCUAAAACUGGAUAGGAACAUCGAAGGCAUCUUUGAUGUUUUAAAAGACCUAGCAAUAGGUAUGCUUAAGGAGGGGCCUGCGGCGCAUUAGUUAGUUGGUGAGGUGAAGGCUCACCAAGACGAUGAUGCGUAGCCGGACUGAGAGGUUGAACGGCCACAUUGGGACUGAGAAACGGCCCAAACUCCUACGGGAGGCAGCAGUAGGGAAUUUUCGGCAAUGGGGGAAACCCUGACCGAGCAACGCCGCGUGAAUGACGAAGUACUUCGGUAUGUAAAGUUCUUUUAUCAGGGAAGAAUGGCUAGCGGAAAAGCUAGAUUGACGGUACUUGAUGAAUAAGCCCCGGCUAACUAUGUGCCAGCAGCCGCGGUAAUACAUAGGGGGCAAGCGUUAUCCGGAAUUAUUGGGCGUAAAGGGUG
rnacentral:rRNA from 1 species